rnacentral:tRNA from 1 species
GUAGACRUAGUUUAAAUAAAAUACUAGAUUGUGAUUCUAGAGACAGGAGAUAAAAUCUCUUUGUCCACC